rnacentral:rRNA from 1 species
UAGAGUUUGAUCAUGGCUCAGAUUGAACGCUGGCGGCAGGCCUAACACAUGCAAGUCGAGCGGAAACGACAACAUUGAAUCUUCGGAGGAUUUGUUGGGCGUCGAGCGGCGGACGGGUGAGUAAUGCCUAGGAAAUUGCCUUGAUGUGGGGGAUAACCAUUGGAAACGAUGGCUAAUACCGCAUAAUGCCUACGGGCCAAAGAGGGGGAUCUUCGGACCUCUCGCGUCAAGAUAUGCCUAGGUGGGAUUAGCUAGUUGGUGAGGUAAUGGCUCACCAAGGCGACGAUCCCUAGCUGGUCUGAGAGGAUGAUCAGCCACACUGGAACUGAGACACGGUCCAGACUCCUACGGGAGGCAGCAGUGGGGAAUAUUGCACAAUGGGCGAAAGCCUGAUGCAGCCAUGCCGCGUGUAUGAAGAAGGCCUUCGGGUUGUAAAGUACUUUCAGUUGUGAGGAAGGGUGUGUAGUUAAUAGCUGCGCAUCUUGACGUUAGCAACAGAAGAAGCACCGGCUAACUCCGUGCCAGCAGCCGCGGUAAUACGGAGGGUGCGAGCGUUAAUCGGAAUUACUGGGCGUAAAGCGCAUGCAGGUGGUUCAUUAAGUCAGAUGUGAAAGCCCGGGGCUCAACCUCGGAACUGCAUUUGAAACUGGUGAACUAGAGUGCUGUAGAGGGGGGUAGAAUUUCA